AUGAGGGCGGUUCUGAAGGGAAUUAGACCAAUGAGACGAGCCCGGGGCGGGGCGCGGGGCUCUAGCAGUGGCGGCGGCUGCAGAACGGGCCAGAGGGAGGAGCAGCGCUAUGGGCUGUCGUGCGGCCGGCUGGGGCAGGAUGACAUCCCUGUACUGCAUGUGAAGCUCACCGAGACGGCGAUCCGGGCGAUCAAGACUUACCAGAGCCACAAGAAUUUAAUUCUUUUCGACCUUCAAUUCAGUUCCAAGGACUCCACGGGCUUGUCAAAAUUCCCAAAAAAUGAUCUCCUCAAUGAAGUUCAUAACUUUAACUUGUAUUCGUCAAAUGUGGGCAAAGACAACCCUCAGGGCAGCUUUGAAUGCAUCCACAAACAUUCUCCAGCUCUGGAGCCUCCCAGCUCAACUGCCUGGGAUUUAUACAAGACUAAAAUUACAGUGUAUGCAACAAACGACUCGGAUCAGAUGACACGAGAAAGAAUGACCCAGGCAGAGGAGGAAUCCCGCAACCGAAGCACAAAAGUUAUCAAACUCGGUGUACCAUAUGUAGGGAAAAAAGUGCCAAUUCGGAAAGCACUUCAAGCUGUUUCAGAUACAGUUCCUGAGAGGAAACGGUCAACCCCCAUGAACCCUGCAAAUACAGUUCGAGAGACACACAGCAGCAGCAGCGUCUCUCAGAGGCCAUACAAGGACAGGGUGAUUCACUUACUGGCCCUGAAGGACUGCAAGAAACUGGAGCCACUUGCUAGACUCCAGAAAGAUGGUGUCAAUCAAAAAGACAACAACUCCCUGGGAGCAAUUCUGCAACAGGUAGCCAAUCUGAAUCCUAAAGACCUCUCAUAUACCUUAAAGGAUUAUGUUUUUAAAGAGCUUCAAAGAGACUGGCGUGGAUACAGUGAAAUAGACAGACGGUCAUUGGAGUCAGUGCUCUCUAGAAAACUAAAUCCAUCUCAGAAUGCUGCAGGCACCAGCCGUUCAGAAUCUCCUGUAUGUUCUAGUAGAGACGCUGUAUCUUCUCCUCAGAAACGGCUUUUGGAUUCAGAGUUUAUUGAUCCUUAAAUGAAUAGAAAAGCCCGAAUAUCUCACCUGAUGAACAGAGUACCACCAACACUAAAUGAUCAUUUGAAUCCUACCAGUGAAAAAUCUGCUGCAGGCCUCCCGCUGCCCCCUGCAGCUGCUGCCAUCCCCACCCCUCCACCGCUGCCUUCAACCCAUCUGCCCAUCUCACAUCCUCCUCAGAUUGUAAAUUCUAACUCCAAUUCCCCUAGCACUCCAGAAGGCCGGGGGACCCAAGACCUACCUGUUGACAGUUUGAGUCAAAACGAUAAUAUCUAUGAGGACCAGCAAGACAAAUAUACCUCUAGGACUUCUCUGGAAACCUUACCCCCUGGUCAGUUCUACUAAAGUGUCCAAAGCCUAUGGAAGAAAACCAUUCAAUGUUUCACAAAAAGUCCAAAAAGAAGUCUAAAAAACAUAAGGAAAAGGACCAAAUAAAAAAGCACAACAUUGAGACUAUUGAGGAAAAGGAGGAAGAUCUUCAGAGAAAAGAGGAAAUUGCCAAGCUAAAUAACUCCAAUCCAAAUUCCAGUGGAGGAGUUAAAAAGGAUUGCACUGCCUCCAUGGAAAGUUCAGCAACUGAACUCCUAGAUUAUUUGAUAAAAUGUAUCACUAUCAUCUCCUAUGAGCAAUGCCAGAAUUAUAAGGAUGACUUCAAUGCAGGGUAUGAUGAGUACAGAGCUUUGCAUGCCAGGAUGGAGACUGUAGCUAGAAGAUUUAUCAAACUAGAUGCACAAAGAAAGCACCUUUCUCCAGGCUCAAAAGAGUAUCAGAAUGUUCAUGAAGAAGUCUUACAAGAAUAUCAGAAGAUAAAGCAGUCUAGUCCCAAUUACCAUGAAGAAAAAUACAGAUGUGAAUAUCUUCAUAACAAGCUGACUCACAUCAAAAAGCUAAUAGGUGAAUUUGACCAACAGCAAGCAGAGAGUAAUGGCCCUAGAACUCUGCUUGGACCAGAAGAUGUGAAUAAACUUAAGCUUAUUUAUUUAAAAUUCCAAAGGAGUUGCUCUAGAUUCUAAAAAGGUGAAACUUUGGCUGUUCAAAGUUUCAGUAUUAGUAAACUUGAGUUACUUUUUCUUUUCCAUUUUACUUUGCUUCUCUGCAUUUCGAAGCUGCUCUUUCUGGUCCUCCCCACCACUCCACUCCCAAGACUUGUGCUUAUUAAUAGAAAUAUUUUUUUAGGUUUUGGGGAUCCAUUGUCCACAUUUCAAGUCAGUUUUUUUUCCUCAAAAACUUGUGUUUGUUAUUAGAAAUGAUUUUUUAGAUAUUGGGGAUCCAGUGUCCAAACUUAAAAGUUGUGUGUGUUUAAAAAACAACAGUAAUGUGCAAGGUGAAAUGCUUUUGGGUAAACAUAAGCCUAUUUUCUGACCUUUCUUAAUGCAAACUCUUUGCCUUAAAUGGUAGAAUAUUUAAAAUUUGCACAAAAUUUAAAAAAUAAACAUUAUCUUGGAGAGUUAAAAAAUAGAAAGGUUUAUGUGUAUAGAUUCACAUACACAUAUGUAUAUACAGGCUGACUUGAUCUAGAACGUUAAAUCCGCCCUGCAAGUUAACCCCCCAUUGCAAUGGUUGCCUUAAGGUGUUUGCUAGUCCUGUACGUGGUGUGGUUAAUCAUCAGCUACACUGCUUGCCACUUGAUUAGAGCAAUGGGAAGCAUAUUGUGGCCUACCAGCAUCUGGAAGUGUGUGCUCGAUCUGUAUGUGUGCAGAGGUGGUGUGGAUGUGAGCGUGCAUGAAGGAAAAAAAGCUGCUACAUCUAGUAGGCCAAACGCUCAGGUUAAACAACUGACGAGUGUUACUGUAGGGUGUUUUAGUUUUGUUUUGUUUUUUCUAUCAAAUUGCAACUUUCAUUGUGGAAAACAAAAGCAUUUCCAUUUCAACAAGUUUGUCAGCUUUAUUAAUGUUGGGCAAAAAUUGAUAUGACAUGAAAAUGAAACAGAUCUAUAGUUUUGGGACAAAAUUAUAAAAUUAAAUGUAUAGGUAACCCAUUUAUGUACUGCUAUAAAGUAUUUUUUGAAGAGAGAUAUGCAAAGAAGCUAUUACCUACAAUAAGAUGUACAUUUAAAGAUUUUUUUUUCAUCCUGGUGCCAGGAAUAUAAAAAACAGUGGAUAUAUUUAACCAUAACAUACUAUGAUUCAUCAAACAGCACAAACUUUCAUUUCAUGGAGUUUAUCUGUUGACAUUGAUUUAAACUGUCACUUGUUUUAUCAUGUGGGAACAUAAGUUAUGUGGUCAAAAAUAUAAGGAUUUUGAACUAAUGUUGA